GACUUGGUAGCUCAGUUGGUAGAGCAUCUCCCUUUUAAGGAGAGGGUCCUGGGUUCGAGCCCCAGCCAGGUCACAA
rnacentral:tRNA from 1 species